UGGAAGAAUUUUCGGUGACCAAGGUGGGGGUACCAGUGUUGUGACAAACCCUUCACAUAAUGUUGGAUUCCGUAUUAUGGUAUACCCUUCAUACAGUGUUGGAUUUGAUGAUGAGGUAUAUAUGAGAAAUUAUUAAUAUGGAAUUUAUCUGGUACUGAAGUAGCCGUAGCCAUAUAGGGACUAGUAUUCUCUUGAUUUGCAGCUAGCUUGUAUCCUUGGGAACCGAUAAAGUAUAUUCAUAAUUGGAGAUACCACCCACGUUGCAGUAAUACUAAACACAAUAUGGACUUAGAAACUGUCAACUAGGCUUAUGCGAUAACAAACUAGAUCAUGACAUUACAUUUAUUUUAAACAUAUUCAUUUGGUGUUGUUGAGCAUCCUUCUUGUUGUUGCAUUUCAUAUAUGGUUAUGUUUUUCUUACAUGACACUGUUCACUGGGCUUCGUGGAAGCUACCCAUUUAUUGUAAUGUUUUUAGAUGGUGAACCAAGGAACCUUCUCGAGGCUGUUGUCAUGGCGCCUGCUCUAUACGAUGACGAACUAUCAGUCGAGGAGCUAGCAGCACAUGAAGCUAAUUGUGUGUGUGAUGAUUGUGCCUUCGGGGCACCCUAAAGAUGAUAGUAGUCAUCUUCGCCUUUUGAUUCUUUUGUGUACAUACUUGCUGUAAUCCUAGGGGUAAUACUGUAAUUAUUUUCUGAUAGGAGCAAACUUUCUUUUGUGUAAGUAUAGUGCAUAUCAAUAGAAUUCACCAGUUGUAUCUAUCUAACUGAUUAGUGUUAUAUAUUAUAGAUUUUAGAUUUAUUUCAUAUUUGUGAUCUUAAAGUACUGCAUCAGAGAUCCUGGAUGAAUUAUGGAUACAAUUAUGUGUCCAGGUCACCAACGUUUAAGUAAGUGAAGGUGGGGUGUGAUAUGGAAAGGUAUAAGAAGAAGAGAAGGGAGAAAGAAGAAGGAGAGAGAAAGAAGAAGAAAGAGAGAGAAGGAGGAGGUUGGAGCAAGGGAGGAGAUCACCUCCACUCACUACACAUCAAGGCAUUCCCUCCGAUGCCAUUGUGGAGACUCUAACACUGCUUGGAGAUGAGUUGUGGCUAGAGGAGCUGGCAAAGCAUGAGCAAGGUUGUGUUUGUGAUGAUUGUGCCUACGAGGCACACUAAGGAUGAUAGAUGUCAUUUUUACCUUUUGAUUCUUUUGUGUAGAUAUCUGAUGUAAUACUAGGCAUAGUACAUAUAAUUACAGAUUGACAGGAAUUCACUUUUUGUGUAAAUAUCAUACAUAUCACUAGAAAUUCACAAAUUGUACUAUUUUACUGUUUAUUAAAAACAUUGGAUUUUAGUUCA